GGUGCCGUAGCGUAAUGGCAACGCGUUGCUUUCCGGUUAUAGCUGUCUGGCAAAGAUUGUGGGUUCGAGUCCCAUCGGCAUCG